rnacentral:rRNA from 1 species
UGACGACCAUAGAGCGUUGGAACCACCUGAUCCCAUCCCGAACUCAGCAGUGAAACGAUGCAUCGCCGAUGGUAGUG